CAAAAGCAACGCUCAACUGCAGGGAAAAUGGCAUUAAAAGGUGAGUUUAACAACGCUCCAAGGCGCGUGCAAGUAAGCAGUUUAACAGUUUUCUUACAACCCAUUCUCGCUUAUCGCUUAUUCAUAGUUUAUCACUAUGAAAUCACGUUCAAGAAGUCUCAUUCAGCACACAUCGCGAUACUUGCCAUCAGUUUACAUUUGCCACAGGUUCGCUGAAAAGAUGUAAAGGAAGCAGUCAUCCCUGUGGUGUUUGUGGAGAGGUAUUCCUUCAGAAAUGGAGAAGACAGAAAGCUGCGGAGGCAGACAUUUGCAGCAGACUGUUUGGAGAUAAUGCUGUUCUUCUCCAUCAUGCACAAGGACUCACCUCUUUAACUCUUUAUCUCCCCACCACACACAGAAAUGGUCCCUGGAUCAGUGAUUAGACUUUGCAGUCAGGUUUGCUUUU